rnacentral:lncRNA from 1 species
AUAAGCACUAUUAGAGAGCAGGCGAUGUCCCUAACGGAACACCGCAGAAGUGUGAAAUAUAAACAGUGAAGUCUCCACCAGUCUUUCGUAAUCAUGUGUAUUUUUAAUGCAACGUUCAUAAAUGAAAAUUAACCAAUGAUCGUAGUCAUUUGAUAGAACCGAAGACAUUAAAAAGGAAGUAAUCGCCAGUAAAAUUUCAGCAGAAAGGGCCGAAAUGACUCCACAUAAUAAAACUUCUCCAUUGGUUACACAACACAGUUUGAUACUAGUUUUUUUCACCAAUGUAACAAAACUAUAUUUAUGUUCAAACUGUUCAAGCCCAGAAGGAAUUAUAGAUUGUAACUCAUAACCACAACAAACCCGUCAAAUGUCUUAAUUGGUUGGAAACGUGCUUUACCGCACGCAUGAUUACAUCUUGUUUACAUAUUUUGUCCAUUUCGUUGGCUAUCUAUUUUUAGUUGGUCGGAAAUCCCCUUCCUGGUGUGGAUUGGUAAGGUCGUUCCUCCUUGAUGACCGGAUGUAGAACCCUAUAAAAGGAUUUCGGUAACAUGUUGCAUUAUAUUGUUUUAAACAACGUUGAUAACACAUCAUCGGAAGAAGAAUUAAGCUGAAAAAAUCUUGUCAUGCAAACUAGAGCCAUCGCCUACUUACUGAUAAGCCUAUUAGUCCUGCAAAUGAUGUCAGAAAUUGCUGGCCGGCCACAUAUGAACUGCUGCAGUUACAGAAAAUGUCCACGAGGUAGAUUGUGCGUAAAUAUUGGUUCUCGUUGUCGUUGCAAAAGUAACCGGGUAAUUUCAAACCCUUUCGUAAUGUUUAUGGAACCUGCUGAAAGACACGCGAAAAACGCGGAGGCGUCUACCUAGAAAGUAGAACUGCAAGACCUAACUCUUAGUGCUGGUUGGUUGGAAAUGUCGGGUAUUUUUCUACUGUGAUAUGAAGUUAACUUACUGUGAUGUUAUUGCUUAACGCAUGCGUGCUCAGAUCUCGUCACACCACGCUGAAUGUGGAUAUGAAUAGUGUUCAUUAAGGUACGAAGUCUACAACAUAAAUAACUGUCGCACGAUGUAUAAAUACAGCAAAAUUGAGAUAUUACUUCCACACAAUUUGCUAAGAAAUCCUCACUCUGUGAUAUGCACUUGUCAUUUGAAAUCUAAAUAUUUAAAUGUGAAGUUAUCUUUCUACAAUAAAUUAUAUGUCUUGAAGUCUACACACUGCAGUAUGAACUCUUUUCACUGUGAUAUUAAAUUCUUUAAAGUGGCACUGUGCGUUAUGAACUCAGUUGAACUCAACUCACUGCGAUACUGCAUCUAGACGCUAAAUAUAUGCAGCGUAGAGAUCGAAAUUAUGUAAAUAACAAACGCAUAUUAUGUUUUACAUUCUAUUUAUUGUGUUCUAUGAAUUUAGUGCUGUUCAUUCUAUUUAUUUGUUACAUUGUGUUUAAUAUGCCAGAUAAUUUACAUGUUUUUCGUCCAUUUUACAAUACUAUAUUAGAUCUACAUUAUUAUUAAGAAUUAUAUUAUUAAGAAACGAAAUAAAAUCUUGAUUUUG